UACGAAGGGGGCUAGCGUUGUCCGGAAUUAUUGGGCGUAAAGAGCUCGUAGGCGGUUUGUUGCGUCGGCCGUGAAAACCUGCAGCUUAACUGUGGGCCUGCGGCCGAUACGGGCAGACUUGAGUUCGGUAGGGGAGACUGGAAUUCCUGGUGUAGCGGUGAAAAUGCGCAGAUAUCAGGAGGAAUACCGAUGGCGAAGGCAGGUCUCUGGGCUGACACUGACGCUCAUGCACGAAAGCGUGGGGAGCAAACAGG
rnacentral:rRNA from 1 species